AUUCUGCUUGUGCCUACCUGAAGUGACGGCUCUGUAAACACAACACCACAUUCUGUUGUGGGGCCAGCCCGGCUGACGGUUCACUCACCCUCGUCCUCUGUUCUGUCAGGUGGGCUCGUUCUCCGGUCCUCUCCUCUUGGGCUUCCUCCACGGCACCCUCCCGGCUCCCCCUACUCCUUGCCUCACUGACUGAGCCUCGCCUGCUCCUCAGUCCUCCAUGUUCCCCGGCGUCCACCUCACCUCCAUCUCCUCUUCCCUAGCCUCUCUGUAAACCUUCCCACUGAGAGUUGCGUUUGGGUCCGUUCUGUCCUGUCUCAACACAUUCACCAUGGCUGGCUGUGGCUGAAUUCAAAUGGAAACUGUACUGCCUCCUGCCAACACUUAAAAGUUGUCAAUUUAAGCAGUGAGCAGCCCCCUGUGACCGAAGCGCAGAGUCUAGCAAAAAAUCAUCGCCAAAAACGCUCCCCGAAACACAACCAAAAAAGCUAUCAUCGUCCGAAACCUUGGGGACCAGGACGACAACUGGUACUGAGGACUCCGAUGACGAAUACGUGUCAGACAAAGUCUAUGACCACGAGGAUCAGGAGAGCGAUCACACAAGAAGGAGACAAAGAAAAAGAUGAAGAAGAAGAAUAUUGAGAAGCCGAAAGGCAGACCUUCAUGUCCAAAAACGGUAAAACCACAUGGUCCUCCGAGUGUCAAAAUCCCAGCCAAGGGCUCUGGGAGUCAGUCACAGCUGGGGGUGCUGAGCAAAAGUCGGCUUAUAAAAUGACGCAAUACUAAAUGCUGUACAACAUCAAUAUUUUUUGUAUUAAUUUGAAAGGCCAGAAUCAUAUAUAUUUAUAUAUUUAGGGCUGCAACUAAUGACUAUUUUUGUUGUCGACUAAUCUGUUAAUUAUUUAUUUGAUUAGUCGACUAGUCAUGAUUAUUCUUGUCACUCCCUAAGCCUAACCCUAAUUAAACAACUUCACUAAUUAAAUAUCUUUCAAGUGAAUUACUGAUCUCCAACACGCAGCCUAACUAGCUAAGUGAAUGAGGUUUACUAUUCAGAAUAAACACCAGUAUAAACGCGACGGGGAAACCAGGGAAGAAGAAAGA